rnacentral:rRNA from 1 species
AGGACGAACGCUGGCGGCGUGCUUAACACAUGCAAGUCGAGCGGUAAGGCCCUUCGGGGUACACGAGCGGCGAACGGGUGAGUAACACGUGGGUAACCUGCCCUGUACUGUGGGAUAAGCCUGGGAAACUGGGUCUAAUACCGCAUAUGACUGCAUUCCGCAUGGGGUGUGGUGGAAAGUUCUGGCGGUACAGGAUGGGCCCGCGGCCUAUCAGCUUGUUGGUGGGGUGAUGGCCUACCAAGGCGACGACGGGUAGCCGGCCUGAGAGGGCGACCGGCCACACUGGGACUGAGACACGGCCCAGACUCCUACGGGAGGCAGCAGUGGGGAAUCUUGCGCAAUGGGCGAAAGCCUGACGCAGCAACGCCGCGUGCGGGAUGAAGGCCCUCGGGUUGUAAACCGCUUUCAGUAGGAACGAAUCUGACGGUACCUACAGAAGAAGGUCCGGCCAACUACGCGCCAGCAGCCGC